rnacentral:rRNA from 1 species
CGCUGGCGGCGUGCCUAACACAUGCAAGUCGAACGGGGUGUCGGGAGCUUGCUCCUGACACUUAGUGGCGAACGGGUGAGUAACGCGUGAGUAACCUGCCUUUCAGAGGGGGAUAACAGUUGGAAACGACUGCUAAUACCGCAUAAGCGCACAGUUCUGCAUGGAACAGUGUGAAAAACUCCGGUGGUAUAAGAUGGACCCGCGUCUGAUUAGCUAGUUGGUGAGGUAACGGCUCACCAAGGCGACGAUCAGUAGCCGGCCUGAGAGGGUGAACGGCCACAUUGGGACUGAGACACGGCCCAAACUCCUACGGGAGGCAGCAGUGGGGAAUAUUGCACAAUGGGGGAAACCCUGAUGCAGCGACGCCGCGUGAGUGAAGAAGUAUUUCGGUAUGUAAAGCUCUAUCAGCAGGGAAGAAAAUGACGGUACCUGACUAAGAAGCCCCGGCUAACUACGUG